rnacentral:lncRNA from 1 species
CAUAUUUUAUUUUAUUUUAUUUUGCCAUCCACCACUAUAAUCAUGUUGUCAUGUUAUACACAUAUUAUCAUGCAUCCAAUUUUAUAUUUGCAAUUCCACAUUUAAUUAUAAUUCUUGUCAUUUUAUCCACCCUUCUACCUUCAUCUUUUAUUUUACAUGCAUUCGACCUUUUGAUCAUGUCACUAAUACUUCCUUAUCUUUCCUUCUUUGUUUUCUAUAGAUGGAAAGCCCACCACCACCCUUUGGCAACGUACCGCCGUUUACCCGCAUCUACUACCCCUCCAUCGACGACGAGCAGUUGUUCAGUGCCCCUUUGGCGGCACUAUGUGCAUUCCUCGACCUGCCACCUCCCAGGUUCAGAGGCCGAAUAUUCCCCGAAGCCCCGCUAGCCGGAAAGGGCUGGUGGCUUGCCGGGCUGCUUGUAGCCGCUGCCCGGGAUGGAACCUUCCCGGAAACUCGGGGACGGGGCUCACGCAUUGCGCAGCGGUGGUACCUCGGGUGCCACUGGUGUGACAACCGAGCUGCCGCAACCUCACGGCGGCUGGCGGGACCGAUACCACCACGACACCGAUC